UAGGGAAUUUUCGUCAAUGGGCGCAAGCCUGAACGAGCAAUGCCGCGUGAACGAGGAAGGUCUUCGGAUCGUAAAGUUCUGUUUAAGGGGAAAAAGAGCGGAGAGAGGAAAUGGUCUCCGAUUGAUAUUACCCUUCGAGGAAGUCACGGCUAACUACGUGCC
rnacentral:rRNA from 1 species